rnacentral:rRNA from 1 species
GAUGAACGCUGGCGGCGUGCCUAAUACAUGCAAGUCGAGCGAACGGACGAGAAGCUUGCUUCUCUGAUGUUAGCGGCGGACGGGUGAGUAACACGUGGAUAACCUACCUAUAAGACUGGGAUAACUUCGGGAAACCGGAGCUAAUACCGGAUGAUAUUUUGAACCGCAUGGUUCAAAAGUGAAAGACGGUCUUGCUGUCACUUAUAGAUGGAUCCGCGCUGCAUUAGCUAGUUGGUAAGGUAACGGCUUACCAAGGCAACGAUGCAUAGCCGACCUGAGAGGGUGAUCGGCCACACUGGAACUGAGACACGGUCCAGACUCCUACGGGAGGCAGCAGUAGGGAAUCUUCCGCAAUGGGCGAAAGCCUGACGGAGCAACGCCGCGUGAGUGAUGAAGGUCUUCGGAUCGUAAAACUCUGUUAUUAGGGAAGAACAUAUGUGUAAGUAACUGUGCACAUCUUGACGGUACCCAAUCAGAAAGCCACGGCUAACUACGUG